GCAUCAGGCCGUAUGAUCGAUACUUCCCUUCGAAUGCUAUGGAUCAGAAAAUGCACCUUCCCAACACACUGACU
rnacentral:sRNA from 1 species